UGCCGUUGAGGACCGUGUGGACCGCAGGAGGAUCCCUGAUGCUUUGUUGCUCCUGUGAUCUUCAAUUUGAUGUGUGGCUGUCUACAAACGUACAGUAGCUUCAUUCAAAUUCUUUUUAGGAAUUGUUAGAAGAAUUUCUUUGUAGAGUUGAGAGAAAAGAUGCGUAGACAAUAGAAUUAUUUUCAGGUUUGCAAUAAUUCGUUCUAUUUGCUUGCAAACAAAUUGCACAAGCCGUUCAUUUGUUGGAUGAUGUUUGCAUGUAUUUCUAGCAAGUUAUAAAAACUGAUGGAAGAUGCUUCGUGUAUUCUUUUGUGUGUCUACCAGAACAGGCAUGGUGGGAGGGCGAUGCUCCAUUGAUUGCUUUUCUUAAUAUUACAGAGGGAGCAUCGAAGUGGCGAUUGGUACUUUCCCUUUCAGCGGCCAAAGAAAAGCAACACUUUUUCAUGUGAUUUCAGAUGAAACGACCAGAGUGUGUAAAAUCUAGAUCGCUACAAACAGGUCAAGGUUAGUUAUGUUUCUCCUUUUGAUAUUCUCUAGAUAAUGUUAUCAAGCAAGAUCACCUUAGGACAAUAUAAUCUACUAUUUACUUUCUUUGUGUUUCAGUACGUUCGAACUAUUUACAUGUGUGCAAAUGGGCAGAUUUUGAUUAUGCGACUUGGUGCCUUACUUGUUCUGCCUAACUGUUGGAUCCUAGCUCUUAUGUUAUCUACCUAUACCCAGUGCAUGCUAAAAAAUAAAAAUAAAACCUAUGGCCAGUGAUAUGUUUAUGGCUGGAUGUCUACUGCUUCUGUCAAUGCCAUAGUAGAUUCGAUCGAAACUGAUAUAUCUAAACAACAAUUGUUUCAUUUCGAUCAGAUAACAUUAUUUUUUCUGAAAAAUCACAUCCUUUUAUUCAAGUUUGUGGGUGUUUUCCCUGAUCUGUUUGCAACUUGGCAUGAGAGUCCGUUUAUGCAUGUAGUUAUUUUGGUCCAGAAAUCGACCAUGGAUGAUGCUUCUUAUUUUGAAGAGACUAAGUUCUUCCGAGUCUCCGAUAAAAUAAAUAAAGAGGGCUUUAAUGAGAUGAUGCUUCUUAUUUAAUGUUGUUAGAUCUCCUAAAAUAGUUUGAAGGCGUGGGGCUUGCUGGUCAAGUAGGUUGCGCUGCUCCAUCAGGAUGUCCUCCCCCAGUGUAGUGUUAACUGAUUAAUCAUGCACAUCCAUUAAAGCAAAUAUUCAGAAAAAUGUUUAGUUCACUAAUUUAUCAUUCGGUAAAGGACCAGUUGUUUAAUCCUACUAUCUAGACACUUCAUCCAUCCAAUCCAGUAAGUUUAAAUUGAUUAAUCCUGCACAUUCUUAAAUUAUGAAGAGUAAAAAAAGAUUUUGGUGUUGGAGGAGCAGCCAGCAAGUGCAGUUUGCAAACCAAAUGCAGUUUCUAUAGUGAACACUGAUUUGCGACCUCAGCUCAGCCAUAUUGGACGGAUUGAUUACUUUGUGAAAUAGGAGUUAGCCCAUAAUAGAAAUGCCACUCCAAUAUUGGAGGAAGUGUUGAUUGAGCUGAGAAAUUUACUUGAUGAUGAAAGGAACGAUUGGCUUCAAAAUUUGCAGAAUAACUUCUCCAAGCUCUCAGAAGAGAAGCAAUAAUGUGACUCCCAGGUGCAUCUCUGAGAGAAAAGCUGGAGAUGCUUUGCCAGUGGCAAAACAAAGGGAAGUAAUUGCUACGGACGCCAGCCAGGUGUUCAUGCUAUUUGAUUCGUGUUUUCUGCUCUUAAUAAUGCUUCCGUUUUUCUUCUUUUAGAACCCUUCUUUUGUACUCUUACAAAUAACAGAUGAAAGGAGAAGGAUGAAGAAGUCAAGCUAUUGCAGAGAUCAAUUGAGGAGCUCAAAAGAACUUUAGUGUUCUCAAAAGUAGCUUUAUUCAGUUUGAGUGAAUUUUGUGGCCUAAGUGUUGUAGCUAUUCAUUUUGCCACGCAUUCUGAAUGUUAGCACACACCCAUGUUGGUACAGAACUCCUAUUGUUAUGCCUGUUAUGACAACAACUUUCCCAGAUUUUCGUGCAUAAACAUACAUAUGUGGACUAAAUUCUUUUGUUACUUGCUCAGUGAAUACAUAUGUAUGCUUUUUUUUUUGCGGG
rnacentral:lncRNA from 1 species